CAAUAAACAAAAGCAGUCAUCUU
rnacentral:piRNA from 1 species